UAUUGAUAGUUUAUAAAUAUUUAUAUUGGAAUUUGUCCAUUACCCCUUACUAAAAUAAUUAUGAAUCAUGUAAUCAUGUAUAUACAUUUAAUUUAUUUUUUUUUUUUUUUACGAUGAGCAUAGGCACACAUAUUAAAGAAAAUUGAAAACGUACAAGAAAGUGUGGUGAUCUAAUAAAUUCAAUGUUUCAGGUGAGCGACAUGAACCCAAUGUCAUCACUGCAUGAAGAGCAAGAGCCAAUAAGGUGAGCUGGAUGAACCCAAUGCCAUUACUGCAUGGAGAUCAAAGGCCAACAAGGUGAGCGGGAUGAACCCAAUGUCAUCACUGCAUGGAGAUCAAAGACCAACAAGGUGAGCGGAAUGAACCCAAUGUCAUGGAGAGCAAGAGCCAACAAGGUAAUGUUUAAAUAAAUGUUACAGUAAGAGACACUGUGGAUAUAGCAAGAGAUGAAGGAAAAGGAAUGUUUUUUUUUUUAUGUUAUUUCUUAUUUUAGUUUUGUAAUUUAUUAAAUGGAAAUAUAGAUACUGAAUGUACCUUUAUAGACAGUGGAUUCAGUUAUUAUUAGGGGAUUUAAAGGCCUCUUUUGUUUUAAGUACUACUUGUAUAUCAUGUUAUGAAAAAAAAAAGAAGUGUCAAAGCCAGUUUGGAUUAAUUCAUAUCUAUAUAACUAUCUAUUUAAACCAUUUUUAUGUCUAUUGGUUUCUUGCAUCCUGUGUGCUUAAUAUACAAUGCUAAACUAUUGUUUGUUUAAUCAGUAAAUAUAAUAUUUUGCUGUUUUCUUAGAACUGUAAACUUGACAAACAAACAUUUCCAUUACACGCUGUUUUACACUCUAUUAUGAAGGGAUGCAUGACAACUUUGUCAACCUUUUUAAAACUUCUAAUGCUUUGUGAUGCAUUUGAUUUUCUGUGCACUUUGAAUUUGAUUGUUGUUUUAUAGUGCAUUCUAAACUCUUUGGAUCUUAUUAACUAGCUCCUUGACAUUUGUUAAUGUUAUUUGUUUAUAAAAAUAAAGAGAUAUGCCAAAAAAUUGUUUUAAUAUCAUUUAACUAUUCUGGUUAUCCUAUAUUUUACUCAUAAACCAUGUUUUAAGCACAAAGAAUGAAACGAUGGAAAAAGGAUAAUAUCUGUUGUAAAAGAGUAAUACAGAUUACAAUAUUCCUAAAUACAAAAUUCAUAUUAUAAUUGAAAAUCUUGGGGAUAUAUAAAUGAAAAGAGAGAGAAA
rnacentral:lncRNA from 1 species